UAUCCGGAUUUAUUGGGUUUAAAGGGUGCGUAGGCGGUUUGAUAAGUUAGAGGUGAAAUUUCGGGGCUCAACCCUGAACGUGCCUCUAAUACUGUUGAGCUAGAGAGUAGUUGCGGUAGGCGGAAUGUAUGGUGUAGCGGUGAAAUGCUUAGAGAUCAUACAGAACACCGAUUGCGAAGGCAGCUUACCAAACUAUAUCUGACGUUGAGGCACGAAAGCGUGGGGAGCAAACAGGAUUAGAUACCCUGGUAGUCCACGCAGUAAACGAUGAUAACUCGUUGUCGGCGAUACACAGUCGGUGACUAAGCGAAAGCGAUAAGUUAUCCACCUGGGGAGUACGUUCGCAAGAAUGAAACUCAAAGGAAUUGACGGGGGCCCGCACAAGCGGAGGAACAUGUGGUUUAAUUCGAUGAUACGCGAGGAACCUUACCCGGGCUUGAAAGUUAGCGACGAUUCUUGAAAGAGGAUUUCCCUUCGGGGCGCGAAACUAGGUGCUGCAUGGUUGUCGUCAGCUCGUGCCGUGAGGUGUCGGGUUAAGUCCCAUAACGAGCGCAACCCCUACCGUUAGUUGCCAUCAGGUGAAGCUGGGCACUCUGGCGGGACUGCCGGUGUAAGCCGAGAGGAAGGUGGGGAUGACGUCAAAUCAGCACGGCCCUUACGUCCGGGGCUACACACGUGUUACAAUGGUAGGUACAGAGGGCAGCUACCCAGCGAUGGGAUGCGAAUCUCGAAAGCCUAUCUCAGUUCGGAUUGGAGGCUGAAACCCGCCUCCAUGAAGUUGGAUUCGCUAGUAAUCGCGCAUCAGCCAUGGCGCGGUGAAUACGUUCCCGGGCCUUGUACACACCGCCCGUCAAGCCAUGGGAGCCGGGGGUGCCUGAAGUUCGUGACCGCAAGGAGCGACCUAGGGCAAAACUGGUGACUGGGGCUAAGUCGUAACAAGGUAGCCGUACCGGAAGGUGCGGCUG
rnacentral:rRNA from 1 species